ensembl:lncRNA
AGGGAGGGCGGGGAAGAGUUAAUGCUCUAUGUGACCUUACGAGUGACUUCAGAUGCUCGGCUCACUCCCCCCCACCCCCCCCCCUCCGAUGACCGACACGCGCACCCACGCGCUCGGUCCCCUCUCCUUCUUUCCCCAUCCCCGCGCCCGACGGGGACACCGCAAAGGGCAGAUGUCCGGGUGCACUUUGUCAUCGGCUGUUUCCACGCUGACGCUGCCCUCAGGCAGAGGGGACAGCACAGAAAUCCCCGCUGUUUCCUCUUCCUUAUGCCUUCCGGAGACGGGUGCCCGGAGCAGGUGCUCUCUGGCUGCGGGAUGCGCGGAGGGAUGCGGCUUCCCCGCCUCCUCCCAGCCGCUAUCAGCACCGCAGCCCUCCGCGGGACGCACGCAGUGAUGCGCGCACCCCACCGCUGAGUGGGUCAGCGAUGCUGCGCUGCGCAGAGAGCAGCUCAGAGGGAGAGCGUUGGAGGCUGCUCUCGGAGUCCAACGCGCUUCUGUAAAGAACGGGUUAACUCACACCACGAGCGCUUCGCAAAUUAAUAUUCCCGGGUAAAUUACGCAUUAACAUAUGCCCGAUCUGUAAUUAGAUCGCCCUGAGGUUAUGCUUAUGAAAUAUUUAACGCACCGAAGGUUUGCAGGUGUUCUUUAUUCUUCUUUUUUUUUUUUUUCUUUUUCUUUUUCUUUCCCCAUUUUUUUUUUUUUUCCGGAAACAGGGAGACAUGCAAACAAAGGUUCGUUGCUCGGAUUCCCGGUGCUUGUUUUACUGCCCUUCAGCAGUUUGCCAUCACCAAAAAUUCUUCACCGGAGUUGGUAAAUUCCAAAAUGCAGUCCUAUAUCUGGAAGGUCACUUGACGUUUUUUGGGCGUCCAUCCAGAACUCUUCAGUAUUUCUUCAAAUUUAAAUAUUUUCUCGGUUAUUUUUAAGUAGCUAUAAAGUUAAAAGAGUUGAUUUUCUGUUUUAAAAGGGGGAGAGAGACAGAGAAGUGUAAGGUGUGUUUUGAUGAAAAGAAGAACCUGUAAUUCAUCUCUCGCUUUUUCUUGGAUGGCUUUUACUUCUCCUUUGAGCCUCAUGGAUAUCUCUUCAGCAACAACUAUAUUGUUAUUGACUUCAGUGAGACCUGAUCGAGCCCUGGAUUCACAUAUAUGUCUGCAUCCAAACUCCCAAAUACCUUUGGGAGUUGUGCUAAGGAUGAGAUCUGGGAUAAGGAAUGUAGUUUGGAUAGCAACCUCAGAAACUCUCAUUAAAAAAGCGUUAGUUUGUCCAUGAAUAGGCAUAUAGCACUCAAGAGGCUGGUGUAAUGUUCUCCUCUGCUACAGCGUAAUUCCAAAUGUCCAGCUAGAUAGCCUAGGAAAAAGAGAGAUGCUUAGAAGGGUCAGUGGUAAUUGAAGGGUGCAUCUCAGUGCUUGCCUGUUGUCUUGUCCUUGAUUUCCCAAAUGACACACACAAAAAAAAAAAAAAAAAAAAAGCUGGAUAAAUGUCCACAGUGCCACGUUUCACUAAGCAAGGAUCUAGGCUUUCCUGGAAGAUGCAAAUUAACCUGUUCAGAUUACGCCAUGGAUUAUGAAGUCUUUCCUGUAUAGAUUUCAAAACUGUAGUAACUCAUUAGUGCAAGAGUGGGAAGUUAGGUCAAUCAUGCCUCAUCUAACAAGAGGAAAGCUCUUCUAGCUCAAGAAUCUUGAAGGAUAAAUCACUUAAACAAGUUGUCUUCUUUUUCCUCCCAAGUUUGCCCUCUUAGACCCUUUUUAAAGUUACAGCAUUCCCUUUAAACAAGAAAGCCUGUUAGCAUGUCCCGAGUUGUGGAUGGCACUAAAUCCUUGUCAAACAGUUCUGACCUGGAAAUCAGAAAUCUGACCUUUCCCAACUGAGAGACAGAGAGCCACAAAUCCUCAAUUAUCUUUAAGACACAACACGAGUUUUGUGCACUUUGGACCAAAUUCAAUCCUGAUGUAAAAAGAUGCAGUCCCCUUGAGUCUCUGGAGCUGCAAGCUGCUUACAUUAAGGCUGUACUUCAGCCCUUGGUUUUGUCCAUGAGACUUAACUCUUAAUUAAGCUUAACUCUUACUCCUGGAGAAUUAAUUUCUCUUCAGGAUUUGUCGUUUGAGUGUUAGGAAUGCCUGAUGUUUCUAUCUAAUUGCACAGUGAGAUGAAUUGCUAUGGGACAUACUCAUUUUUUCUUUCUAUCAAAUUACAGGAAGAUUGAAUGAAACCCAAGAAAUCCACCAUCUAAAUAUGUUCUAAAUUAGCAUAAAGAACACAGCCAAAGGCAGGAUCCAGAGAAGGAGCAUGUUUGCUGAUCCAAAGGAGCUGUGACAGUGUCCAGUCAGGAGGAAAAGAGGACACAAAUGACAGGUUAUAUUUCCUAGGUGGAGUGGGGUCCCUCACCUUCCUACAGCUGAUGCAAUGAGUGAACUCACAUAAACCAUAGCAUAAAUGAAUAAUUGUGACCACUGAACCUACCAUGAAUGUUGUUUAAAAACACAUGUUGGGUGGAGGUAGUGUUCUGCAGGAAGUAUCAGAUGUUAGUUAGUAUAGAAUCAGACUAUCUUUAUUUAUUUAUUUAUUUUUCUUUUCCUGAACAGCAGCAAAAUAAUCAGAAGGGUAAGAUGUUAAACUUUCCUUAUAAAAAAGUGACACUUGCUAUAAAAAAGAAACACAAGAGUGCAAGAUAUGCACAUGAUGUAUUCUACAGCUGUUCCUUCAGAAGACUAGAAGGCCUGAAGAAGUCUGGAGUCUAGUUCAUACGAAGAGCAGCAGACAUUUAAUUAAUGUCAGACCUAGAAUUUUACAGCCAAUAUGUGGUCUCUGAACAUCUCUGCUCUAGUUAGCAGAACAUCUGUAGUAGAAAAACAGAACUUAAAUAAAUCUGAGUAUACUCAUACUCC